rnacentral:rRNA from 1 species
AUGGUUGAUGGUAUUAAGGACAAGCAAAUGGUGAGGUGGCAUAAGAAUAGAGAGAGAGGAAAGGCAUCUUUCCGGGAGAUCACACCACAUUAUGCUGAGAAGCUAGAGCUGGAAAAGGAGAGGGCCAUAUACUGCAAACCCAUUCAAGCUGGUGUUAAUUUAUGGCAAGUGACCAGUGGGCAGCAAACACACCCUGUGAACUUGGAUAAUUAUACAUGUGGUUGCAGAAAAUGGGACCUGAGUAGCAUGCCAUGCAACCAUGCAAUUUCAGCAAUUAACAAGGCCAAAAGGUUUCCAGAGGACUUUGUUUGUAAAUUCUUCAAAAAACCAUUUUAUCUGGCAGCAUAUGAACCUAUGAUCUUUCAUGUUCCUGGUGAACAUGACUGGAUAAGGACACCUGGACCAGACAUAGAGCCACCAGAAUUUCAUGUUAGGAGAGGAAGAAAGAAAGAGAAGAGGAUCAAGGGCAAGUUUGAAGUGCCAAAGCCAAAGGACAACAACACCUGCAAGAUCACAGCAACAACCUACACCUGCAAGAUCAUAGCCCCCACCUGCAAGAUCACAGCAGCAGCCUCCACCUGCAAGAUCACAUCCUCCACCUGCAAGAUCUGGUGCAAGGUCUGGUGCAAGAUCUGGUGCAAGGUCACAGCCAUUAACUAG